rnacentral:rRNA from 1 species
GAUGAACGCUGGCGGCGUGCCUAAUACAUGCAAGUCGAGCGAACGGACGAGAAGCUUGCUUCUCUGAUGUUAGCGGCGGACGGGUGAGUAACACGUGGAUAACCUACCUAUAAGACUGGGAUAACUUCGGGAAACCGGAGCUAAUACCGGAUAAUAUUUUGAACCGCAUGGUUCAAAAGUGAAAGACGGUCUUGCUGUCACUUAUAGAUGGAUCCGCGCUGCAUUAGCUAGUUGGUAAGGUAACGGCUUACCAAGGCAACGAUGCAUAGCCGACCUGAGAGGGUGAUCGGCCACACUGGAACUGAGACACGGUCCAGACGCCUACGGGAGGCAGCAGUAGGGAAUCUUCCGCAAUGGGCGAAAGCCUGACGGAGCAACGCCGCGUGAGUGAUGAAGGUCUUCGGAUCGUAAAACUCUGUUAUUAGGGAAGAACAUAUGUGUAAGUAACUGUGCACAUCUUGACGGUACCUAAUCAGAAAGCCACGGCCAACUACGUG